rnacentral:rRNA from 1 species
CAACUUUCAGCAACGGAUCUCUUGGCUCUCGCAUCGAUGAAGAACGCAGCGAAAUGCGAUAAGUAAUGUGAAUUGCAGAAUUCAGUGAAUCAUCAAAUCUUUGAACGCAUCUUGCGCUCCUUGGUAUUCUGAGGAGCAUGCCUGUUUGAGUGUCAUUA